rnacentral:lncRNA from 1 species
AUGCCAACGGUACAUGAAAAACACACAAGGUUUGUUUUUUUUGUUUGUUUGGUUUUUUUUUUGUUUUGUUUUACAGCAUGUUGCCUUUCUAGAGCACUUAUUGACCGAUGCCAGGAAUUAAAAAUGCCAAAUAUCAGCCAAUAUAUCACUCAGCGCCUCACUGUGCUAUGGUAUGAUUAAUACACAACACGUUUUUGUGCUGAUGCUUAGAAAAAACGCUAAAAACUACAAUGAAGCAGCAGCUCUCACAUUCAACAGGUGCAUGCACUAAAAACAGUGAAGAAACUAGUAAAUGAAGCAGAAAUUCUGCUGAAACACGAGAUGCAAGAUCUAGACACACAUUAUUAAAAAAUGCAGCUCUUUCUAAUGUGAGCGCAGUGUUUCAGAAUGUGUGCUGCUAAUCUUUUUAACAAAGCAAACUGUGUCUAUUACAGCAUUUUAUGUAGGUCUGCUGCUGUCGUGUCAAAGGUUUCAACUUUCAAUGUGUUUUCGCAGCACUGAGAUUUACGGUCAUGUCCACUGAAGAAUGCAAUGACCGUUCUGAAGGGAUGUUUCUCGUGCACUCACGACGGAAGAAAUACAUGUGUAUGCCCCCAGUGGCACAGAUGAAGUACUGCAUGAGAGGAAUGUCAUUCUCACAUACACCACGGCGCAAAGAUGGCUUCAAAGUGAUGUGAGAGGGCAGACAGUCAUUCAUCAAUUAAUGUUGCUCGAUAAACUGAUUUUAAGAUUUUUAUAAAUGUUCGGCACAGGCUAAUGUUUAUGCACCAGAAGCAGAACGAAACGGCGCGGCUCAUUCGGAAGAUCUCAGAAUCCGUCCACCAAUCGAUUCUGCAUUGAUUUACUGUGCCAGCGCUACUGGAGGUGAGUCCAGAGCGUGAUGAGAAUGAAGCUCUACGCCCGAGAAGAGCCCAGAUAUCUUUAUUUGUGACACUAGGGAUGUGCGAUUUGGGGGAAAUAUCUAAUUGCGAUUUUUUUUAAAGAUAUUGCGAUUGCGAUUUGAUUUGCGAUUUUAAAUUUGCAAAGUCAAGCUUCAGCUUAAUAUUGUCAAUAGUGUGCAGCACAGUAUGAGUAUCAUUACCCUGCUGAACAAAAAACAAUAGAAACCAUCACAGAAAUUCUUAUGAUUUCCAUUAAAAGAACUACAAAAUUCCGAUUUUUUUAAAGAUAUUGCGAUUGCGAUUUGAUUUGCGAUUUUAAAUUGCAAAGUCAAGCUCAGCUUAAUAUUGUCAAUAGUGUGCAGCUACAGUAUGAGUAUCAUUACCCUGCUGACAAAAAACAAUAGAAACCAUCACUAGAAAUUCUUAUGAUUUCCAUUAAAAGAACUACAAAAUUCCUUUUUGUAUUGUGCUUUGGCAUUAUUCCAAUAGGAAUUACUGUUGUUCUAUUGUUUCCCAUCUGCCAGAUUACAUCCCACCAACAGAAUCCAUCAAAUACCAGUAUAGACACCAUUAUAGUUUACAUUAAACCAAUAUAAUUCCCAUUAUAGCCCUUAAAUACAUUAAAUUUUCUAUUGUGUUUUGGGAGGGGUUCUGUUGUUUUUUUUUUUCAGCAGGGAAUAUUAUUAUGGUGUGCUUUUACAGAAUUUACUUAAUUACUGGAUUUCACAGGAAAGAUUGUGUAAAGAAAGAACUGUAUUACUUUAGUUAAUUAUUAAAGUAUUACGUAGGUUACAUAGCCUGAUUUAUUCAUAUUUAAGUAUUUGGGAUUUUAAAAACAAGCGGGAAACGUGCUGAAUGUUUAAUUUCAUGGAAAGUGAAAUUAGCAAGCAGUCAGACUGAGUUUACACUUGUUUUAAACGAGGAGGCAGGCGUGAGGUGACACAGGUUGUGUGCGUGUGUCCAGUCUCGUCCAUACUGCCAGAUGCGCUCGUGGAGACGUGUGGUGUGGAGCCGCGCGAGUGUUACUGAGCGCUACGAGACAGACUGUGUUUGUGCGGCGAGUGUAACGUUAAAACGCUCCUCCGUGAGACGCGGCAGAGAGGAGCGAGUAUGAGAAGCAUUCAGAGACACAGCUGUGUGCGCUCUUCUGAUUUGGAAAUAGCAAACACGCAUCAUAAACUUCUUUCAAAUUGGAAUCUGUUGGGGAGAUAAAUGUGCAAGAUAACGGUCAUGUACUAAUGAAAACAUCUAAGAAUGUUUCUUUUAUUGUUAAGCACUGAAAGCAGAACUGAUAAGGGAGCUCUAGACGUAUCGUGACGUAAAUGUGACAAGAUAACGUCAUGUACUAAUGAAACAUCUAAGAAUGUUUCUUUUAUGUUAAGCACUGAAAGCAGAACUGAUAAGGGAGCUCUAGACGUGUUGUGACGCAGCUCUUGCGAAUAAACGUUAUUUUUUUUGUCCGGUGUCCAUCAUUUUGGAGCCAAAGUAAUCUCAUAUUACAUAAGUUUUUAUUUAGUAUUAAUUUGCCUAACUAUCGACAUAUCACACACACUCACUC